UAGAUUAAACUUAAAGUUAAGGUUUUCAUUUACACUGAAAUUAUUUAUUGUGCAGUUCAAUAUAAUCUAA
rnacentral:tRNA from 1 species